UAUAUUGUUCAAAAAUCUAUACUUUUACUAUUUGCUACUAAGAGAGUUAUUGUCUUAGUUUGAGUGCUCUUAAAAUCACACACUGAGAAAAUACUUGGGCUCAGGUAGUUUAUUUCAGUGGUAAUCCUGGAAAUUGCAAGAAGGGAGUAGAAAAAGUGAGACAGGAAGAGAGAGAGAAAGUCAAUAAAGGACAUGUUAUUGACCUGGUGACCACUCAUGAAAACUAGAGCUAAUGCUAUUUGUGACCCUCUGAAAAUAAUCACAUGCAUCAGGACUUUCUCAUUCUUGAACAGUUUAGCAAAAUAAUUUAUCUACUAAUGCCCAUCCUGCAUGAGAUUGUACUCAGAGACGUUAACUCCCCUUAUUUCUAGAUUGUGUAUAUGCAUGAAGAUGGACACCGUCAUGAUUCCAGAGAAAGCUCCCAGGCAUAAAAGCAAAGGUGUGCAGGCACUCGAUAUGGGAAGCUGUCAUUGUAUAGGAAACUGCUUAUCCAACUGCAGGUGUGAAUGAGGUGACUGUACGAUAUCAGGAAAAUUAUGAGAGAUCACACCCUGCCCGUCCUCUUCCCCAAGUGUCAUUACAUUCUCUGUCAACUGUAAAGAAGCUGAAACUGGACGUCACAGACAAUGUGUUAUGAGUUUGAAUCACGCAAAAACAAACAACAAAAUGGUAUGGAGCUAUAACUGUGAGUCAUUCAUUUCAAAAGCAAGGAUUGACAUCUGAUCACUCAAAAGAUUGCUCUGCACUGGACAACCUGAAUAAUAUGAAUUGUUGCUCAGAAUCUUCCUAUGGAGGGCGUGGAGGAGGAGAACCAGAGAGCAUCCGGGACCAGGUGGAGCGUUUCCUGCCAGAUGGACUUUGAAACUCUUCUUCAACAGCCAUAGGAAAAAAAAUAAUCUGAUAUGCCAAUAAGAAUGCAGCUACCAAAGAGAACAUCAAUAUAGCCACAGUAAGCACAGCUUCACCAGCUGUAGCAUCACCAGCCAGAACCAGCUUUGGCAGAAUUUAAAAAAAGGAAGACUUCACUGCAGAUGGAAAGUUAAAGGUUCUGUGCUUCAAGAUUGAUGCUUGAUAAAGCAGAUAAUGGAUGCUGAGAGUGACCACAGCCCUUCAACAAGAAGACAAUACUUUGGACCAGUGGUUCUCAAAUUUUAAUCUUAACAAAAUCUCUUAGAUGGCCCUUGAUAAAUCUGAAUGUUGGGACCCACCCCAAGAGUUUCUGAUCCUGUCCAGCUUGGGUGGGGCCUUGGAAUCUGUGUUUUUAACCCAUUCUUAGAUGAUGUUGAUGCUGUUGUUCUUGAGAUACACUCACCUCAUAGGGUCAUUGUAUUAAAUGAGCUAAUAUUUUUCAGGUGCUCAGAUCAAUGCUGGUCACUCAGAAAAUGUAAUAAAAAUUUAAAAUGCCUAGUCACAAGAACACUGCCCAUUAUUGUUAUAUAUAAUGUCUAGAUUCUGUUCCCAAGGGUGAACCAAAUCAGGCAAACACCAAACAGAAUUUUAUUUUAACAGAGCUGAAUAAUUGAGCUAAGCAGAAUGCUCUGACACUAUGCUAUUGUCUAUCUAUCAGAGAAUAUCUUGCUAUUUUUUUUUUUUUUUGAGGAAGAUUGGCCUUGAGCUAACAUCCACUGCCAAUCCUCCUCUUUUUGCUGAGGAAGAAUGGCC